rnacentral:rRNA from 1 species
GCAUAUCAAUAAGCGGAGGAAAAGAAACCAACCGGUAUUGCUCUAGUAACGGCGAGUGAAGCAGCAAUAGCUCAAAUUUGAAAUCUGGCGUCUUCGGCGUCCGAGUUGUAAUUUGUAGAGGAUGCUUCUGGGCAGCCACCGACCUAAGUUCCUUGGAACAGGACGUCAUAGAGGGUGAGAAUCCCGUAUGCGGUCGGAAAGGCACCCUACACGUAGCUCCUUCGACGAGUCGAGUUGUUUGGGAAUGCAGCUCUAAAUGGGAGGUAAAUUUCUUCUAAAGCUAAAUAUUGGCCAGAGACCGAUAGCGCACAAGUAGAGUGAUCGAAAGAUGAAAAGCACUUUGGAAAGAGAGUUAAAAAGCACGUGAAAUUGUUGAAAGGGAAGGGAUUGCAACCAGACUUGCUCGCGGUGUUCCGCCGGUCUUCUGACCGGUCUACUCGCCGCGUUGCAGGCCAGCAUCGUCUGGUGCCGCUGGAUAAGACUUGAGGAAUGUAGCUCCCUCGGGAGUGUUAUAGCCUCUUGUGAUGCAGCGAGCGCCGGGCGAGGUCCGCGCUUCGGCUAGGAUGCUGGCGUAAUGGUUGUAAUCCGCCCGUCUUGAAACACGGACC